rnacentral:rRNA from 1 species
GUGAGGAAUUUUCCGCAAUGGGCGAAAGCCUGACGGAGCAAUGCCGCGUGAAGGAUGAAGGCCUAUGGGUUGUAAACUUCUUUUCUCAGAAAAGAAUUAUGACGGUAUCUGAGGAAUAAGCAUCGGCUAACUCUGUGCCAGCAGCCGCGGUAAGACAGAGGAUGCAAGCGUUAUCCGGAAUGAUUGGGCGUAAAGCGUCUGUAGGUUGUUUAAAAAGUAUUCUGUCAAAGAUUAGGGCUUAACUCUAGAUAGGCAGAAUAAACUUUUAAGCUAGAGUGUGGUAGAGGCAGAGGGAAUGCCCGGUGGAGCGGUGAAAUGCGUAGAUAUCGGGAGGAACACCAAAGGCGAAGGCACUCUGCUGGGCCAAUACUAACACUGAGAGACGAAAGCGAGGGGAGCAAAUGGGAUUAGAAACCCUUGUAGUCC